CAGGAUUCCCUAGUACGGCGAGUGAAGCGGGAAGAGCUCAAAUUUGAAAUCUAGUAGCCUUCGGCUGCUCGAGUUGUAAUCUAGAGAAGUGUUUUCCGUGCCGGCCCAUGUACAAGUCCCUUGGAACAGGGCGUCAUAGAGGGUGAGAAUCCCGUCCUUGACAUGGACCCCCGGUGCUCUGUGAUACACUUUCAACGAGUCGAGUUGUUUGGGAAUGCAGCUCAAAAUGGGUGGUGAAUUCCAUCUAAAGCUAAAUAUUGGCGAGAGACCGAUAGCGAACAAGUACCGUGAGGGAAAGAUGAAAAGCACUUUGGAAAGAGAGUUAAACAGUACGUGAAAUUGUUGAAAGGGAAACGAUUGAAGUCAGUCAUGCUCUUUGGUAUUUAUAUCAUUGAGUGGGGUCAACAUCAGUUUUGAGCGAUGGAUAAAGGCACUAGGAAGGUAGCACUCUCGGGUGAACUUAUAGCCUAGCGUCAUAUACAUUGUUUGGGACUGAGGAACGCAGCAUGCCUUUAUGGCCGGGAUUCGUCCACGUACAUGCUUAGGAUGUUGACAUAAUGGCUUUAAACGACCCGUCUUGAGAUUGGGGGACAAUUGACAAA
rnacentral:rRNA from 1 species